UACCAGCACCCCGAGUGGUCGGGACGUUUUAUUGGGGCCUAAAGCAUCCGUAGCCGGUUCUACAAGUCUUCCGUUAAAUCCACCUGCUUAACAGAUGGGCUGCGGAAGAUACUAUAGAGCUAGGAGGCGGGGAGAGCAAGCGGUACUCGAUGGGUAGGGGUAAAAUCCGUUGAUCCAUUGAAGACCACCAGUGGCGAAGGCGGCUUGCCAGAACGCGCUCGACGGUGAGGGAUGAAAGCUGGGGGGAGCAAACCGGG
rnacentral:rRNA from 1 species